GAUGAACGCUGGCGGCGUGCCUAAUACAUGCAAGUCGAGCGAACAGACGAGGAGCUUGCUCCUCUGACGUUAGCGGCGGACGGGUGAGUAACACGUGGAUAACCUACCUAUAAGACUGGGAUAACUUCGGGAAACCGGAGCUAAUACCGGAUAACAUGUUGAACCGCAUGGUUCAACAGUGAAAGACGGUCUUGCUGUAACUUAUAGAUGGAUCCGCGCCGCAUUAGCUAGUUGGUAAGGUAACGGCUUACCAAGGCAACGAUGCGUAGCCGACCUGAGAGGGUGAUCGGCCACACUGGAACUGAGACACGGUCCAGACUCCUACGGGAGGCAGCAGUAGGGAAUCUUCCGCAAUGGGCGAAAGCCUGACGGAGCAACGCCGCGUGAGUGAAGAAGGUCUUCGGAUCGUAAAACUCUGUUAUGAGGGAAGAACAAAUGUGUAAGUAACUAUGCACGUCUUGACGGUACCUAAUCAGAAAGCCACGGCUAACUACGUG
rnacentral:rRNA from 1 species